CUAAAUUAUAAUUUUCACAUACUUUAGUUACUGCAGUUUUGCUUUCAGUUUUUGGGAGCUAUAAAUAAAUAAAUAAAUAUAUAUAUAUAUAUAAUUAUAUAAUAUAUCUAAUAUAUUUAAUUUUUUUCUUGUUGAACAGUCAUAAACUGGCAGAAGACAAAAAGCUCCUUCUUCAGGAGAUACAGAAAUACAAUGGUCUUGCAUUAGACUCUGCCACAAACAUUGAUGUCUCUGCUGUGGAGCAUUCCCUUGCUGGAGAGAGCAGUGUGUCUCAAACAUGGCCGUGGGAGGUUCAUGGCAGUGGUGUGUCAAUUUCCAGAUGCUUCUCAAGAAUUUAUUUACAGUUCUGCUAUAUAGAGUAUACUGAGAAUACACACAAACUGAAUGAAUAUUACAACACAUGCAUGCCUUGGAUGCAUGUAACAUUGAGUGUUGUAAUAUUAAUUUAGUUUAUGUGUAUUUUCAGUUUUCUCAUUAUGUAUCAAUUUGAUUAAAAAGUGCAUGUUUGUAGUUACAAAACAUUGCACUGCUAUUCUACAAGAAUGUAUAAUGUAUACAUAAAAUUGUUAUUGAUUCUUAGCAAACAUUUCAACCGAGAAACAAUUGCAUGACCAAGUGAUGUUGACAAUGCGACGGCACGAGGAGAAAAGCAUUUUGGUGUUGGAGAUGGCACAACACUGCACAUGGUUGCAGAGCCUGACAGUGCUUCUCAAGAACAAGAUGGCUGAGGAGGAUGAAGACAAGGAAAAUGAGGGACUUUGCUGUCUCUUAAGAAGAAGACUGUCAGAGGUGUCAGAACGGGUGCAAGUGGUCCUCCAACAGUACAAGACUGCUUUACUGUAGGUCCUGAGGCCUCAUCCUUCUACAUGUUGAAGCAGAAGAUCCAAGUGGUCUCAGUAGCCCAGACACCAGUGAGGAUGAAGAGGAAAACACAACUUAGGUAUUUUAUUUAUUUAUGUUUGGUUGUUCCAAAAUAGAUGGGGGGUGUUCCAUCAAUGGCUUGGCUUAUUUUGAUAAGUCUCAAUAAUGUAAGUAAGAGUUCC
ensembl:lncRNA